rnacentral:rRNA from 1 species
UACACUCCUGCGGGAGGCAGCAGUGGGGAAUUUUGGACAAUGGGCGAAAGCCUGAUCCAGCAAUGCCGCGUGAGUGAAGAAGGCCUUCGGGUUGUAAAGCUCUUUUGUCAGGGAAGAAACGGUGAAAGCUAAUAUCUUUUGCUAAUGACGGUACCUGAAGAAUAAGCACCGGCUAACUACGUGCCAGCAGCCGCGGUAAUACGUAGGGUGCAAGCGUUAAUCGGAAUUACUGGGCGUAAAGCGUGCGCAGGCGGUUUUGUAAGUCUGAUGUGAAAUCCCCGGGCUCAACCUGGGAAUUGCAUUGGAGACUGCAAGGCUAGAAUCUGGCAGAGGGGGGUAGAAUUCCACGUGUAGCAGUGAAAUGCGUAGAUAUGUGGAGGAACACCGAUGGCGAAGGCAGCCCCCUGGGUCAAGAUUGACGCUCAUGCACGAAAGCGUGGGGAGCAAACAGGAUUAGAAACCCGGGUAGUCCCA